UACGUGGGGUGCAAGCGUUAAUCGGAAUUACUGGGCGUAAAGCGUGCGCAGGCGGUUUUGUAAGUUUGUCGUGAAAGCCCCGGGCUCAACCUGGGAAUGGCGAUGAAGACUGCAAGGCUUGAAUCUGGCAGAGGGGGGUAGAAUUCCACGUGUAGCAGUGAAAUGCGUAGAGAUGUGGAGGAACACCGAUGGCGAAGGCAGCCCCCUGGGUCAAGAUUGACGCUCAUGCACGAAAGCGUGGGGAGCAAACAGG
rnacentral:rRNA from 1 species